AUUCACCUAACAUUAACCCUAGUAAUCAACACCCUAUUAGCCCUGUUACUAAUAAUUAUUACAUUUUGGCUCCCACAACUUAAUAUAUAUAUAUGGAAAAAUCUAGCCCUUAUGAAUGCAGAUUUGACCCUCUAUCCUCUGCCCACUUUCCCUUCUCCAUAAAAUUCUUUCUAGUAGCCAUCACAUUUCCCCUAUUUGAGUUAGAACUCGCCCUACUACUACCCUUACUGUGAGCCCUUCAAACA
rnacentral:lncRNA from 1 species